rnacentral:lncRNA from 1 species
AGAUAGCUCCUCGAUGGCUUGAUCUUCUUGUAGGGGGUCUCUUUCUUGCGUAGAUCUUCCAGGCAUCUCACCUCAGACAUACACGCGAACGACUGAGACUUGCCGUCGUAGAAUUUGGAUAGCCCUUUCCUGCAGAGGACAACACAAGGUGAGAAUUUUUUCCCUUUUAAGGCGUGUAGAAGAAGCAUAUAGAUGCAAAAGGAAUAAAAAAAAAAUCGAGGAACUUACUUGACAGGGAGUUGUGCCAUCAUGGACGACAGAUCGUAGAGGCUAUCGGAGUUCAAUCUCCGAACCGACUGCUGCGCCGGGGAGGAAGCCGCCUGCUGCAUGAACUGGUGGUCCAGAGCUCCGGCGCCCUCGCCGUCCGAGAACUGGUCCUCGCCGUCCGAGUCGCCGGAGAUGGAAGACGAUG